UACGUAGGGUGCAAGCGUUGUCCGGAAUUAUUGGGCGUAAAGAGCUCGUAGGCGGUCUGUCGCGUCUGCUGUGAAAACUCAGGGCUUAACCCUGAGCUUGCAGUGGGUACGGGCAGACUAGAGUGCGGUAGGGGAGACUGGAAUUCCUGGUGUAGCGGUGAAAUGCGUAGAUAUCUGGAGGAACACCGGUGGCGAAGGCGGCAUCCUGGACCGGUAUUGACACUGAGGCGCGAAAGCCAGGGGAGCAAACGGG
rnacentral:rRNA from 1 species